rnacentral:rRNA from 1 species
AAUAGAUACCCCGGUAGUCCAUGCCGUAAACGUUGGGCACUAGGUGUGGGGCUCAUUCCACGAGUUCCGUGCCGCAGCAAACGCAUUAAGUGCCCCGCCUGGGGAGUACGGCCGCAAGGCUAAAACUCAAAGGAAUUGACGGGGGCCCGCACAAGCGGCGGAGCAUGCGGAUUAAUUCGAUGCAACGCGAAGAACCUUACCAAGGCUUGACAUGCACGGGAAGCCACCAGAGAUGGUGGUCUCUUUGGACACUCGUGCACAGGUGGUGCAUGGUUGUCGUCAGCUCGCGUCGUGAGAUGUUGGGUUAAGUCCCGCAACGAGCGCAACCCUCGUCCCAUGUUGCCAGCGGGUUAUGCCGGGGACUCAUGGGAGACUGCCGGGGUCAACUCGGAGGAAGUGGGGAUGACGUCAAAUCAUCAUGCCCCUUAUGUCUUGGGCUUCACGCAUGCUACAAUGGCCGGUACAAAGGGCUGCGAUACCGUAAGGUGGAGCGAAUCCCAAAAAGCCGGUCUCAGUUCGGAUUGGGGUCUG